rnacentral:lncRNA from 1 species
UUUAUUUUAUUUUAUUGAUCUUUUAUUUUUUUUAUAAUUAAAUUUUAAUUUUAAUUAAUACAAAAUUUAUUUUAUUACACUUUAAAUUUUUAUCUUUUAGUUUUCACAAAUAGAUGCUAGGAUCUAGUUAGUAGAUCUUAGUAUCAAUUUAUUUUAUACAUUUUAAAUUCUUAUUAUUUAUUUUUAUUGCAAGUAGAAGCU